rnacentral:rRNA from 1 species
UGUUGGUAUCUUAGUGGCGGACGGGGUGAGUAACGCGUGGGUAACCUGCCUUACACUGGGGGAUAACACUUAGAAAUAGGUGCUAAUACCGCAUAACAGGGAAAGAUGCAUGUCUUUUCCUUAAAAACUCCGGUGGUGUAAGAUGGACCCGCGUCUGAUUAGCUAGUUGGCGGGGUAACGGCCCACCAAGGCGACGAUCAGUAGCCGGCCUGAGAGGGUGAACGGCCACAUUGGGACUGAGACACGGCCCAAACUCCUACGGAAGGCAGCAG